GUUCUCACAGGGUGUACUGCUGUAUUCCCUGCCCAUGCACAGAUGCCAGCUCCAGCGGUACAGUACCUGCAGACAGAAAUUUCAGCCAGCAGCUUCAUGUUCGUUUUAAAGAGCACAGCAUGUGCUGUGCCACAGUCUGGAUCACAGCAUGUGCUGUGCCACAGUCUGGAUCACAGCACAAUACUGUGAAGGAAAAUUUACGGUUUUGCUUUCCAAAUCCUCCAGAUAAAAUGAUCUUGUUGUGUUUUUGCUCAUAACAUCUUGAAGUAAGCCAUUUAAGCAUUCUUGAAACAAUAAACUGGAGUGUUUCUAGUUUAAAGGAGCAAUAAAGUAAGUGCUGGCAGCACAAGCAUGUGACUUUAAAAAAGGGAGAGUUGUUGAUGUCACUUGUUUUAAAUCUUUUUUUUUUUCUUUUUUGAUUUACUUCAUCUUUACAGACCAGUUUUACUUGGGCAGGAUUAGUAAAAGAUUAGACAUUUUCACAACAUCAACACGUUUGAAGGCUUGAGUUGCCUGAGUUAUGACACUAUUCUUCCAAUUGUCCACAUAUUAAAAUUUCCUGUCUAAUAGUAUGUUGGCCCAACUGCGUCCUGCUAAAAUAGCAUGGAAACAUGAUCUCUGGAGGUGCUUUUGGUGUCUGGCAAGGGACUUUGGCAGAAAUCCACUCAGUAGGUUGUGGUCUGCAUUUAAGACGCUGAUUGGUGAGCCACAGCUGAGCCCAGCAUCCUUGUGCAACACUUUAAAUUUUACUUGACAAUGCAUAAGGAGCUUCAGUUUCUUCCUUCUGAACAACUUUUUGAACAGAACAACACUGUUUAAAAACUGCUUUUUUCCAGCAGCCAUUAGUCAGAUAAACAUAUCAUAGCUUUGCUACAUGUGUCUGUGUCUCUGCUGAAAAUGUGAGUAUAGAUGACUCACUGCUGCAAAGUAAAUCUACCUAUGGGUACAAAUAAAGUAACCUGAGCCUGAACCAUUGCAAUGAGAUGAAAGAACAGCGGGUAGCUCUGCAUGUUUGAUUUGGCAGAUUUUUUUGUUGUUGAAUGUUCUUCCUGACACACACAACCCCAAAAGGAUUUGUAUCUUUACCUGGGAUGGAACCGGCUUUAGGCGAUUGUCUAAAACACUAUAUUAUGUCAUAACUAAAGCAAUUUCACUUCAUCUGUCUGAAUGUUCUGUUCACACAAGCAAGCAAAAGAUUUAUUUUUUUUUAGCAUUUACUGCUUUACAUUUUGAUUGGCAUUGCAGUUUAGCUUUAAAAUUUUCUUCUUAUUACUCCCUCAGCUCCACCAAGCCCAUUUAACACAUACAGAAGUGCUCUGUUUU
ensembl:lncRNA